CAGUCGCCGCGGUAAUACGUAGGGUGCAGGCGUUAAUCGGAAUUACUGGGCGUAAAGCGUGCGCAGGCGGUUUGUUAAGACAGAUGUGAAAUCCCCGGGCUCAACCUGGGAACUGCAUUUGUGACUGGCAAGCUAGAGUAUGGCAGAGGGGGGUGGAAUUCCGCGUGUAGCAGUGAAAUGCGUAGAUAUGCGGAGGAACACCGAUGGCGAAGGCAGCCCCCUGGGCCAAUACUGACGCUCAUGCACGAAAGCGUGGGGAGCAAACAGGAUUAGAUACCCCAGUAGUCCCUGUCUCUUAUAC
rnacentral:rRNA from 1 species